rnacentral:lncRNA from 1 species
CUCUGUGCAUUAUAGGAGAUAACAAAUUAACCAGACUAGACAACCAUGUAACUUACUUCAUUAUGUUUCCUGAGCUCACCUCCUGAUCUAUAUAUGAAAAAAAAGGCUUGUUUUUUAUAAAGAAUUUUGCUGCUGCUCAAGGACACGAUUGCUGCUUCAGUGAAAUCUACUCAAUUCUCUGGGAAACUCUGGCUUUGAUGAAUACUCAGAUUUGAAGGCAUUCUGGAAGAAAUUACUGAAGUGGAACUUUUCAACAUUUUCAUAAAGAAAGCUUUGUUUCUCGUUUGACGGUGCUCUUUGUGAUCUGUUGCCAGGUCAUCAGUUCACGAGGGUGGGAGUUUCCUUACGACGUUUAAUAAGCGAAGGACAGACUUUCUGCAAAGACACCCAUUACCCACACAUCAGCUUUCAGGAAAGUUUGCACAGUAAGCUUGUUUUGACACAUGUAUGUUUUUGCUCUAGAUUUUCAUCAGAAACAGAACUAAGUAAACUUGAGUUUGGCCUGAUUAACAUCUGAAGCAACAGACUCCGAAUCUCAGUCUGUCGCUGAUAUUUGCAGCUCUGUCCACCAUAUCUCAAAACCAAAUUGUAGUUCAUACCUGAAUGCCCUCUUCAGGUGCACAGAGCUAGUGUGAACUUUUUGCAAUAAACCCUCGACGCUUGGUUUAGGUAAAACCA